UAAGGAAUAUUGGACAAUGGAGGCAACUCUGAUCCAGCCAUGCCGCGUGAAGGAAUAAGGCCCUAUGGGUUGUAAACUUCUUUUAGACGGGACAAAACCCCUUUACGUGUAAAGGGUUGAUGGUACUGUCAGAAUAAGCAUCGGCUAACUUCGUGCCAGCAGCCGCGGUAAUACGUAGGAUGCAAGCGUUAUCCGGAAUUAUUGGGUUUAAAGGGUGCGUAGGCGGACUAAUAAGUCAGUGGUGAAAGCCUGCAGCUUAACUGCAGAAUUGCCAUUGAUACUGUUAGUCUUGAGUACAGUUGAGGUAGGCGGAACGUGUCAUGUAGCGGUGAAAUGCUUAGAUAUGACACAGAACACCGAUUGCGAAGGCAGCUUGCUAAGCUGUAACUGACGCUGAGGCACGAAAGCGUGGGGAGCAAACA
rnacentral:rRNA from 1 species